GAACACAGCCAUGGCCACCACUUCCUUAUCUCUCCAAGGCCGUCCUUCGCAGGCCCCGGCCAAGAAGCUGUCCUCCCCGUUCCUCGGCGCCCCGGCCUCCUUCCUCCGGCCACUGGCGCCGGCGUCCAGCGCCGCCCCCUCGCGGCGGACCCUCGCCGUCAGGGCCAUGGCGCCGCCGAAGCCGGGAGGCAAGCCCAAGAAAGGUCUGUGCCCUUCGUUUUCUUCGCCAUUCCUGAAACAUCAGAGAGGACCCAUGUUUUGUUGCGCCUAAACCGUUGUGCUUCGAUUCUCCUGAAUGCAGUGGUGGGCAUGAUAAAGCUGGCCCUGGAGGCCGGCAAGGCGACGCCGGCGCCGCCCGUUGGACCGGCGCUUGGUGCUAAGGGUGUGAACAUCAUGGCGUUCUGCAAGGAGUACAAUGCCAAGACGGCCGAGAAGGCUGGUUACAUCAUCCCCGUCGAGAUCACCGUCUUCGA
rnacentral:lncRNA from 1 species